GGGUCUGUGGCGCACGGGUGCGUAACGCGUGGGAAUCUGCCCUUGGGUUCGGAAUAACAGUGAGAAAUUACUGCUAAUACCGGAUGAUGUCUUCGGACCAAAGAUUUAUCGCCCAGGGAUGAGCCCGCGUAGGAUUAGCUAGUUGGUGGGGUAAUGGCCUACCAAGGCGACGAUCCUUAGCUGGUCUGAGAGGAUGAUCAGCCACACUGGGACUGAGACACGGCCCAGACUCCUACGGGAGGCAGCAGUGGGGAAUAUUGGACAAUGGGCGCAAGCCUGAUCCAGCAAUGCCGCGUGAGUGAUGAAGGCCUUAGGGUUGUAAAGCUCUUUUACCCGGGAUGAUAAUGACAGUACCGGGAGAAUAAGCUCCGGCUAACUCCGUGCCAGCAGCCGCGGUAAUACGGAGGGAGCUAGCGUUGUUCGGAAUUACUGGGCGUAAAGCGCGCGUAGGCGGUUACUCAAGUCAGAGGUGAAAGCCCGGGGCUCAACCCCGGAACUGCCUUUGAAACUAGGUGACUAGAAUCUUGGAGAGGUCAGUGGAAUUCCGAGUGUAGAGGUGAAAUUCGUAGAUAUUCGGAAGAACACCAGUGGCGAAGGCGACUGACUGGACAAGUAUUGA
rnacentral:rRNA from 1 species